rnacentral:rRNA from 1 species
CGAAUGGCGUAAUGAUGGCCAGGCUGUCUCCACCCGAGACUCAGUGAAAUUGAACUCGCUGUGAAGAUGCAGUGUACCCGCGGCAAGACGGAAAGACCCCGUGAACCUUUACUAUAGCUUGACACUGGACAUUGAGCCUUGAUGUGUAGGAUAGGUGGGAGGCUUUGAAGUGUGGACGCCAGUCUGCAUGGAGCCGACCUUGAAAUACCACCCUUUAAUGUUUGAUGUUCUAACGU